rnacentral:rRNA from 2 species
GAGGGGUGAGUAACACGUGGGUAACCUGCCUGUAAGACUGGGAUAACUCCGGGAAACCGGGGCUAAUACCGGAUGGUUGUUUGAACCGCAUGGUUCAGACAUAAAAGGUGGCUUCGGCUACCACUUACAGAUGGACCCGCGGCGCAUUAGCUAGUUGGUGAGGUAACGGCUCACCAAGGCGACGAUGCGUAGCCGACCUGAGAGGGUGAUCGGCCACACUGGGACUGAGACACGGCCCAGACUCCUACGGGAGGCAGCAGUAGGGAAUCUUCCGCAAUGGACGAAAGUCUGACGGAGCAACGCCGCGUGAGUGAUGAAGGUUUUCGGAUCGUAAAGCUCUGUUGUUAGGGAAGAACAAGUGCCGUUCAAAUAGGGCGGCACCUUGACGGUACCUAACCAGAAAGCCACGGCUAACUACGUGCCAGCAGCCGCGGUAAUACGUAGGUGGCAAGCGUUGUCCGGAAUUAUUGGGCGUAAAGGGCUCGCAGGCGGUUUCUUAAGUCUGAUGUGAAAGCCCCCGGCUCAACCGGGGAGGGUCAUUGGAAACUGGGGAACUUGAGUGCAGAAGAGGAGAGUGGAAUUCCACGUGUAGCGGUGAAAUGCGUAGAGAUGUGGAGGAACACCAGUGGCGAAGGCGACUCUCUGGUCUGUAACUGACGCUGAGGAGCGAAAGCGUGGGGAGCGAACAGGAUUAGAUACCCUGGUAGUCCACGCCGUAAACGAUGAGUGCUAAGUGUUAGGGGGUUUCCGCCCCUUAGUGCUGCAGCUAACGCAUUAAGCACUCCGCCUGGGGAGUACGGUCGCAAGACUGAAACUCAAAGGAAUUGACGGGGGCCCGCACAAGCGGUGGAGCAUGUGGUUUAAUUCGAAGCAACGCGAAGAACCUUACCAGGUCUUGACAUCCUCUGACAAUCCUAGAGAUAGGACGUCCCCUUCGGGGGCAGAGUGACAGGUGGUGCAUGGUUGUCGUCAGCUCGUGUCGUGAGAUGUUGGGUUAAGUCCCGCAACGAGCGCAACCCUUGAUCUUAGUUGCCAGCAUUCAGUUGGGCACUCUAAGGUGACUGCCGGUGACAAACCGGAGGAAGGUGGGGAUGACGUCAAAUCAUCAUGCCCCUUAUGACCUGGGCUACACACGUGCUACAAUGGACAGAACAAAGGGCAGCGAAACCGCGAGGUUAAGCCAAUCCCACAAAUCUGUUCUCAGUUCGGAUCGCAGUCUGCAACUCGACUGCGUGAAGCUGGAAUCGCUAGUAAUCGCGGAUCAGCAUGCCGCGGUGAAUGUAAUCCCUGGCGUUUUACCCUGGGUCAGUAA